rnacentral:lncRNA from 1 species
UCGCUCGCGCGCAGAACGCGGCGGUCAGCUGCGCCCGGCCUGAAGUUGUCCCAACCGCGGCCGCGUCGGUCGCCCUUUUGACUUGCAGCAGGGCGGGCAGAGCGACUUAGAGGAAAAGUGACUUUUUGUACCCUCCUGCAGGGAGCAGGUUCUCUGUCCUUGUUUAAUUAGACAUUUCUCAGAGAAUCCUGCCUCUGCUCUGAAGCCUUUCUGUUCGCUCCAGUGAAAAUUAGUCAUCCACCGGGCGCGGUGGCUCACGCCUGCAAUCCCAGCACUUUGGGAGGCCGAGGUCUGGGCUUGAUGUUCACCGAUUUUCCCUCAGCUCCGACUGUGGCUCCUCUCAGCUGACUCUGACCCUGCUCUCAGCCGGGCUGCAUCUGCCCAUCUCAGCACAUCAAUAAACAGCAGAGGGAAACUACCACCUUGGAAGGAGCCAGGCAGUUUCUGCUGGGUAGGCCGCAGCCUGGAACAUGGAAGUAGCUUCUUCCAUCCUACACUGGAAACCACCCAGCAUCCCGGGCCCUCCAGAGAAGAGCCAGACUCCCUUCCCUGGGAAGAGACUAUAGUCCUAUCUAGCUUUUCCUUACUUCAGUAUUGCAUGAUAAUUCUCAAGCCUGUUCUUUACAUAAAUACAAAAAGGAGAAAGUGAAAUAGUAGAGGAACCGACCGAUUUGAAGGAGCUGCCACUAUUUGAUUCCUCCUGUUAGGACAUCUGAAUGACCCCAAGUUCCUGUUCUUGAGGCUGUUGUAUCAUAUUCUUAAAAGCUAUGCAUGCAUUCUGCUUUGAAUGUGUCCCUCAGCCUCAUUCUUCUCCACUUGCUGGGGGCCAUCCCGCCCCACGGGAAGGUAAGUUCAGGCUCAGAAGGAAAGACACGACAAAAAAAUCUUGCUUUUAUUUUUGUUGUCUAAAAUCAUGUUUCAUGCUCUUCUUUGAAUAAAAUCCAGGACUCCAGAGAUGACCUGUUACUUUUCUUUCAGCAAGUCUCUAAUUUGCCGAGGAGUAAACUUGUAAUGAAAAGAAACCAGAACUCCCCAAGGUAGCUCCCCCUCACAGUCAUUCCUCAAGGCAGGGGAUCUUUAGAGCAGACCUCAAGAACUCCAUCCUUUCUGUGAAAUAGGGCUGCUAACUCAACACCUGUUAAGUAUGAUUUUUUAAAAUAUAUUUUUUGUUAAAACUUUGAUUAAUAGAGACAGAAACUUUCACUCCAAAACCUUUGCUAUGAUUAGAUCUAGAACAGAGACUAUUUGGUCUACGUUUGAACUGAAAAGUUUGCCCUUGACCUCGUGAAUUGUAUUGUUCUAAUUAAAGUGAUAACUGCAGUAUUAGCUUUUAUAUAAUUCCAAUAACCAAAUCGAGACUGCCCAUUUAGGUUUUCAAAAGGAAUCUGUUAGCACCAUCUUGUGACUAUUUUGGUACCGCUUAAAGAACAAAAUUUUCAGCCUGAGGCUUGCUUGUGUUCAAAAAGGCGUCUUCUCGCGCCCUCUUGUGAUGUGUUACAAAACUGGGAGAAACAACAGAUACAGGAUAACGCCUGUGGUUCCAGGAAUUGCUCUUCCUGCUAUCAUAGCUAUUAGUGAUUCUUUGAA